rnacentral:sRNA from 1 species
GCGACUUUGGCGGCGCCACGAGAGCGGGCAGCGGAGGAGAUUGACGUGAGUGAAUUCAGAUAUAACUCAAGCUUGUUAGAGGGCUUUUUAAAAAUAAAAAGUUGAUUCCGUGCAAGAGAGCAAGUUACUGCUGCUUACCGUUCAGAGACUUACAGGUGCUUGCCUGCAUUGCAAUAAAGGACUCAUUUAUUGAGCAAGACUUAUAUUUAUCUCUUCAUUUUGGAGAGCCUAAUAAACUGUUAUUACAGUUUCUCUACUGACUUUCAAAAGUUUUGAAGUUUGAAAGACCUUUGCAAUUAAAACAGCAUGAGCACGGCCAGAACAGAGAACCCUGUUAUAAUGGGUCUGUCCAGUCAAAAUGGUCAGCUGAGAGGCCCUGUGAAACCCACUGGUGGCCCUGGAGGAGGGGGCACACAGACACAGCAACAGAUGAACCAGCUGAAAAACACCAACACAAUCAAUAAUGGCACUCAGCAGCAAGCACAGAGUAUGACCACCACUAUUAAGAGGAGAGCAUUCCCAUUGCUUUAUCUGGUAGGGAUAUCUUAGCUAGAGCAAAAAAUGGAACAGGCAAGAGCGGUGCCUACCUCAUUCCCUUACUUGAACGGCUAGACCUGAAGAAGGACAAUAUACAAGGUUAGUUGAAUAAAAGUUUGUUUUUAAACUAAAAAUAGGAGUUUCAGCCUUGGAGCUAUGUGUAGAAGAUACUCCUUUUUUUAGUCAGAAUUUACAUUAUCUAAAAUUUGUAUUCUUUCUUUUCAGGUUUUUUUUUUUUUUUAAUCCUGAUGAUGGUCUUUUAAAAAUGAUUCCCAGCUUUUUAGAGAUUUCUAGUUUUAAGAGUAUUUUUAUGUGAUACACACUUUUGACAGCAUUCCAGUGAGACAGGAAAAAUAAGUAUUAGUGCCCUAUAGGUAGGAAAGCUGAGGCUGGGGCACGGUGCCUCACAGCCUGUAAUCCCAGCACUUUGGGAGGUCAAAGUGGGUGGAUCCCCCGAGGCCAGAUAUUUAAGACCAGCCUGGCCAACAUUGCGAAACCCUGUCUCUACUAAAAAUGCAAAAAUUAGCUGGGCAUGGUGACGCACACCUGUAAUCCCAGCUACUCAGAAGUCUGAGGCACGAGAGUCGCUUGAACCCAGGAGGUGGAGGUUGCAGUGAGCCAAGAUUGUGCCACUGCACUCCAGCCUGGGUGACAGAGUGAGACUCAAAACUCAAAAAAAAAAA